AACGAACGCUGGCGGCAUGCCUAACACAUGCAAGUCGAGCGCCUGUAGCGAUACGGGAGCGGCGCACGGGUGAGUAACGCGUGGGAACCUGCCCUUAGGUUCGGGACAACCGCGGGAAACUGCGGCUGAUACCGGAUGAAGUCCCCGAUAGAGAUAUUGGGGCCCAAAGAUUUAUCGCCUUUGGAGGGGCCCGCGUCGGAUUAGGUAGUUGGUGGGGUAACGGCUCACCAAGCCUGUGAUCCGUAGCUGGUCUGAGAGGAUGAUCAGCCACACUGGGACUGAGACACGGCCCAGACUCCUACGGGAGGCAGCAGUGGGGAGUAUUGGACAAUGGGGGCAACCCUGAUCCAGCAAUGCCGCGUGGGUGAUGAAGGCCUUCGGGUUGUAAAGCCCUUUCGGCGGGGACGAUGAUGACGGUACCCGCAGAAGAAGCCCCGGCUAACUUCGUGCCAGCAGCCGCAGUAAAAC
rnacentral:rRNA from 1 species